rnacentral:rRNA from 1 species
AUUGAACGCUGGCGGCAUGCCUUACACAUGCAAGUCGAACGGCAGCACGGGAGCAAUCCUGGUGGCGAGUGGCGAACGGGUGAGUAAUAUAUCGGAACGUGCCCAGUCGUGGGGAUAACGUAGCGAAAGCUACGCUAAUACCGCAUACGAUCUACGGAUGAAAGCGGGGGAUCGCAAGACCUCGCGCGAUUGGAGCGGCCGAUAUCAGAUUAGGUAGUUGGUGAGGUAAAGGCUCACCAAGCCGACGAUCUGUAGCUGGUCUGAGAGGACGACCAGCCACACUGGGACUGAGACACGGCCCAGACUCCUACGGAGGCAGCAGUGGGGAAUUUUGGACAAUGGGCGCAAGCCUGAUCCAGCAAUGCCGCGUGCAGGAU